rnacentral:lncRNA from 1 species
UUUAUCUCCUCCACAGUCCAGGAAGUUCUAAUCAGUCAAUUAGCCCUUGUAGGCUCUUGAACAUAGGUGUGGCUUCAUUUCUGGGAUUCUCACUUAUGAUGAAAAUGUCUGUCAAGUAAGAUCCUAUCACCUGUUUAGAAAUGCGUACUUUUAAGUUCCUUAUCAUACCUACAGAGACUCAUUUGCCAUAAUUAAAGGACAAAUAGUCCUGAUAAAUUAGAUAUUUGUCCAUAGUAUUACUACAGUGACUUUUCUAAAUGCAAGAAUGCUAUAAGCUAUUCAAUAAAAUAGCUUUGCUAGCUCAUAAAAAUAUUUUAUCUUUCUGUGUUACUGCCUCUCUAAAAAAAGAGUAGAAAUAAUAAAGUCAUUCAUUACAAAGCCUGGGCUGCAGGACUAGAGAGGUGACUCAUGAUUAAGAGCACUGGCUGCUAUUGCAGAGACCUGAGUUCAGUUCCCAGCUCCCAGGAUGCAGCAGCUCACAACCAUAACUCCAAUAGCAGAAGGUCCACACCCUCUCUGGCCUCUGGGCACCAGACACGCUUUAGUACACAGACAUACACACAAGGCAAAACCCUCAUACACACAAAAUUAAAGCUAAUAACUUGAGUUUUAAAAACAAUAAUCAACCUGGCAGUAUGAUUUGAGUGCUAAACAUUAAGCUGUCAGGAUGGAUAUUGAUCUUUGGAGAUCCUGGUCUGUUGUGGUGAGACCAACAACCCUUAACCUGUAAGUCACGGGGGAGUUACAUUGUUGACAAAUGCUUUUAGAAAACAUGUUUGUUUGGGAAAUAGUAGUACCUUCUCCUCAGAUGCUUUGAGCCAUGGACCCAAGGAGAGCUCCAGGACUGUCACUGCCACAUCCCUAGAGGUGGGUGGGACUUGGGAGAAUGGAGCCCGGAAGUAAGUAAGGCAGAGUAAAGUCUCGUAUAAUAUCCAACUUUAUUCAAAGCAUCAGACAAUUUAUGAUCUGAGGAUUAAGAAAGGUCACCCAAGUAAAGUUCCUGUGAGUUCACGCUGAAUACAAUCAUAAGGACAAGCCACAUGUAGCAAAGACAUGUUUUUCCAUAGAGGCAUAGAUAGGAUAGUUAAAUAUUUACCAGAAUAACAUCAGCAAGCAAUAAUGAGUAAUCUGACAUAAACCCACUCCUGCACCUGGGAGGAGCAUGAAAAGACAUUCCAAGAACAAUUCUAUGUUUUGAAGAACCUGAGAUCAGGCCUUCAAAUUCUUGUUUCCUUGGAGUGUGCUCACAGCCCUCAGAAUUCUCACAUGACUGCAUUCCUGAACCAUGUCCCAACAGUGACCAACACUAAAAGUGGAUGUUCAUCAGAAAACUCAGCUCAACAAUAAAAUUCAGAAAACAAAACAGAAAUCGUUAGAGAAAUGGGUAUUGUGGCUCUUGCCUACAGUCUUAGCCCUCAAGGCAAGAGGGUCAAGAGUUGGACUUUUCUUUCUGCUAUAUAACAAGUUCAAGGCCAGCCCAAGGUACAUAAAGCUCUAUCUCAAAAAAAAAAAAAAAGAUCACUGGAAGCGUUUUGUUUUGUUUUGUUUUGUUUUGUUUUGUUUUGUUUUGUUUUUGAAACAGCCUCUUAUAUAUCCUAAGCUUCUGGGUCUCUGUAGCCAUGGAUGCCCUUGAACUCCUGGCCCUCCUCCCUUCGCCGGUGUUCCAUACCUGCUUCUGCCAGUAUCUUGCAGACCUGUGAACUUAAUAUAGUGUAUGUGUCUACAAAUCAGUAUCAUAUAAGAAACUAUGUCCCCUGACUAACUCUCCAUGUCCCAAACACCUGCCUGCCUGCUGCAUGUCCUGUCUGUACACAGUGCCAUCGCUGUGUCUCAUCUCCAAGUACUAAGGACAGUGUGUUUUGUGUUCAGCUGCAUGGUGUUUGAGUUCUUUUUCUUUAAGGUUUUGUUUGGCUUUGUUAGUGUGGGUGUGAAUGGGUAGGUGUGUGCUUGUGAGGCCAGAGGCAUAGGAACCUCUGGAGCUGGAGUUACAGGUGUUUGUGAACUGUGUGAUGUGGGUGCUAGGAACCAAUCUUGAAUCCUCUGUAAGAGUCCUUGCUCUCAACCCCCUAAGCCCUCUCCAGCUUCUCCGUCAAGUUCCUUACAUCCUCCUGGUACAGUGGUUUCCUGGACUCUGUGCAUGUUUUCUUUACUCACCUCAUCCAGUGUCCCACUCUCCGCUGUGUGACCACUCCUGUGCCAGCUCUUUCUCAGAGUAGAGUUGCAGUGGCAGGCAGAGCACAGGAGUCACCCUGCAGGUGUGCCCAUCACACUGUAAAGGAUUAGCCUUUGAAGGCAGAGGAAUCUACAAGUACUCGGAUACUUUUACAAAACAGGAAGCCAGAAAUGGUGGCCUCCACCCAUUGUCCCACCACAGUGGUGUCCCAGGAUAUAUGAUAUCCUCUCUCAACAAAGAAAAUAAAAAAUAAAACUCACACUUAGUUCCCUUGGGGUGGGAAGAUGACUCAGUGGAUAAGAGUACUUGUGCAAACACAAAGCCCAGAGUUUAGAUUCCCAGCCCCCACUUAAAGGGCUGGGCAUGGCCCCCAACACCUACAACCUCAGCACUGUGGGGAACUAACAUAGAAGGAUCACUGGGGCUUGCUAUCUACCAGUCCCUUCUGAAAAGUGGUCAAUUCUAAGUUUAGUGAGAAGCCUUAGCUCAAGGGAGAGAGCUCAAGUCAAGAGAGAAAUACAACAGGAUACAGCAGUGUCCUUCAGCCUUCCUGUAGAGUCAGGAGCAUCGCUCCUACCAUACACACACAUGCACAACUGCAACACAUAGAGCCAUAUACUCUUAUGUGUGUUUCCUUUACUACUAGUGUGCAUUUUCACAUGGGAACACCCAGUCCCUCUUUACCCACAUUAACAUGGUGAGGGAAAUGGAGCUAGUAACACCAUAAGUGUGUCUGAAGAUGUUGUAUUCUCAUGACUUCACCUUAGUUGGAUCCUGAGUUCCUUUGAGACCAUGGAGGGAAUAAAGACCCUUUCCCACAAAAUGCACGCAUGGUUCAAACAAGUGUAUACGGUCAGUCGCAGAGGCUUCCCAGACCCUUAGAGGCUGUCUGUGGCUUGCAAGGACAUAGAUCACUAACCCUUCUCUGUUCCCAACCAGCAUAUAUAAUUACCUCUAGGAUGUAUCACAGAGAUUUUCUGUCUUGUUUUUCUGCCAGUCAUAGCUGCUCCAUGUCAUAAAAGCCCUCAUCAGUAACUUCCUCCUCAGUUGCCCAGAGGCUCUAAUCAGAAAGUUCAACUGAUGCUAGGAAUCAGGUUUCUAACUGAGGGCUGGAAAGGAAAGCUCUGGUUGUCCAGCCCUUCCCGCUUCUGGCAGCCCUGCAGCCAGAUACUGUGUGUAAGUUUCAUUACCUCUGACAGACUUCCUCAUUAUCCAAAUCAGCCAUCCUUACAAAAUUAGCUAGAGUCCUCACUGAUCACGCACUAUUUGCAAGAAUUAUAUUCUUGGCAUAUCCUUUGGUUUGAGAAAUUAUUACAGUGAUUUAUUUCCAGCCACUUCCUCCUUCCUGGACUUGAUUUGCUGAAGUCUCAGUCUGUAAUACCCAGUGGCAAGUGGUUUCAGACCAGCACAUGCACUGGAGUCACCUCCUCACUACCACACACUACUGGUGACCUUUAGCAUAGCAGAGGCUGACUUCUAGUUCUGACUGCAGUCUCUCACCAUUGAGCACCCCUCUCCAUUCCCUCUAGCACAAAAUGAGAAUUUCUCAAAUGCUACUCUCCCAAUGUAAUAAAAAAAUAUCUUUUAGAAAAAAUAGCAUAAGUCAGGCUGGAGAGAUGGCUCAGCAGUUAAGAGCACUGACUGCUCCUCUGAAGGUCCUGAGUUCAAAUCCCAGCAACCACAUGGUGGCUCACAACCAUCCGUAAUGAAAUCUGACGCCCUCUUCUGGUGUGUCUGAAGAUAGCUACAGUGUACUUACAUAUAAUAAUAAAUAAAUUAAAAAAUAGCAUAAGUCAGUUGCUUACUUAAUGAGGACUGUUAUAUUCAAAAGACCUGAGAAUUCAUUGUGGGAAGAUCUCUUUAAGGGAUUUUGUUGGGAAGACUGCUUUCAUUUUAAGAAGUCUGGUACACUUUUUUUUUUUUUUUUUGAUGGUGAGCUGGGAAGGAAAGUCUAAUUAUUUGAAAUGUAGACUAGAGGCCUAGGGAUGAGUUUGUGAGAGAAUCAAUUGUGUGAGGACUAGAGCUUAGGUGUCCAGAAGCCACUAGUCUGGUAGGCACGGUUACCCAACUAUACUCCCAGCACAAAGGAGGCAGAGAUAUGGCUCAUUGGGACAGACUAGCCAACCCGACAAGCCAAAACAGUGAGCACUGGGUUUAGUAAGAGACCUUGCUUCCACUUAUAAGGGGGAAAGUGAUUGAUUGACAAAGCCACCCUACAUCUCAGGCUUCUACACAGGGGCACACAAAUAUGAUAAUGCAGUAAAACAAAGAGAUUCAGUCAAGAGAUUCUGAUAGGAUUAAACACAGUUGAAUGUAUGUGUUGGCUCACCAAUGUGCAUUUCAUAUCUAACUAUACUGACUGUGUUAGUCAGGGCUCGCUAACAACUUAUAGAGUGAGUCUUUAUCUGUAUAGGAAGGAGAUUUAUUAGAAUGAAUAAUAGGCUGUGGUCCAGCGAAUCCAACAACGGCCGACUGAAAGGAAAGUCCAAGAAUCCAGGAGUCGCUCAGUCCAUGAGGCCGGAUGUCUCACCUGCUCUUAGGUAUAUCCUGGACUCCUGAGAAGUAGGCUCCAAAGCUAGUGAAGGAAUGGACUUGCUAGAAGGGCAAGGGCAAGCAAGCAAAGAGCAAAGCUUCCUUCUGAGUUCUUACCUAGGCUUCCAGCAGAAGGCAAGGCCCACGUUAGAUCUGAGUUAGAGGUGUGUCUUCCCACGGCAAGGUCUGGAUUGAAGGCACGUCUUCUCCCUUCUCAAAAGAUCUGAAGUCAAGGCAGUAAUCUCUCCUACCUCAGAGAUCGAGAUUACAAGUGGUCUUCCUACUCCAAAUUAAGCAAAAAUCCCUCACAGGUAUGCCUUCCAGUUUGGGUUUUAGUUAAUUCCAGAUGUGGUCAAGUUGACAACCAAGAAUAGCCAUCCCACUGGCAAAUGCUUUAUUUGCUUAUCUAAGAAAAAGGCAGUUGGGGGCAAUCUCACUAAAUUGAAAACAAACAGAUGGAAGGAAAGACUUCAGUUAAUGUAAGACCUUUUAUCACUUUUGUUUGAUCUGCUCCCUGGUCUGCUCCCUGGUCACCACCACUGUGUCAUUUGAGGACACAACUAUACUAAACCAAGAAUCCUCUUUGGAGCUAUAAGGUCUUCAGCAGAACCAUUAUUGAUAGCUAUACUGUAAAGACUUCUUUGUGUAACUUCUUAAGUAUGAGCAGACACAUUAAAUAGUGUAAUUAGGGCUGGCAAGAUAGCUCAGUGGAUCAGGACCCCUGCUGCCAAGCCUCCUGAUCUGGGUUUAAACCCUGGGAAAGUGCACGGUAGAAGGCGAGAACCAAGCCCUGCACACCGCCAUCCGACCUCCCUCACACACACACACACACACAUGCACUGCAUGUGUGCACACUCUGAAGAAUAAUAAAUGGGAAGGAAAUCUUUUUAGCAAUAGCUUAAUUAAGGAAAUCUUUAUUUCCGGCCCUGUGUGUGAUUCUUCAGGGUUGUUGUGGUUGUUGUGGCCACCAGCAUUGUACAAAGCUGGAUUCUUUAUGCCAAGAAAGGGCCACCAAUACAGCAAACAGUGACCUGAAGGGAGCAGAAAAACACAAAGCAGAAGUGUCUUUAAUAGCCAC